CACUGUGUGAGGAGCGAACUAAAAAAGGGCAUCAAGACGAAACACGGCCAGUCGUUGAUGCCCUUUUUUGCAUU
rnacentral:sRNA from 20 species